UACGUAGGGUGCGAGCGUUGUCCGGAAUUAUUGGGCGUAAAGAGCUCGUAGGCGGUGUGUCGCGUCGGCCGUGAAAACCUGGGGCUUAACUCUGGGCGUGCGGUCGAUACGGGCAUCACUAGAGUUCGGCAGGGGAGACUGGAAUUCCUGGUGAUGAGCGGUGAAAUGCGCAGAUAUCAGGAGGAACACCGAUGGCGAAGGCAGGUCUCUGGGCCACUGACUGACGCUGGAGAAGCGGAAAGCAUGGGGAGCGAACAGG
rnacentral:rRNA from 1 species